GGCUCCGUAGCUUGGAGGAAAGAAAGAAGCGCCCAUCUAGAGAAUUGGGAGUCGUGGGUUCGAUUCCCACCGGAGCAC
rnacentral:tRNA from 1 species